GUAGGGUGCAAGCGUUGUCCGGAAUUACUGGGCGUAAAGAGUUCGUAGGCGGUUUGUCGCGUCGUUUGUGAAAAACCAGCAGCUCAACUGCUGGCUUGCAGGCGAUACGGGCAGACUUGAGUACUGCAGGGGAGACUGGAAUUCCUGGUGUAGCGGUGAAAUGCGCAGAUAUCAGGAGGAACACCGGUGGCGAAGGCGGGUCUCUGGGCAGUAACUGACGCUGAGGAACGAAAGCGUGGGUAGCGAACAGGAUUAGAUACCCUGGUAGUCCACGCCGUAAACAGUGGGCGCUAGGUGUGGGUUCCUUCCACGGAAUCCGUGCCGUAGCUAACGCAUUAAGCGCCCCGCCUGGGGAGUACGGCCGCAAGGCUA
rnacentral:rRNA from 1 species